UUUACAAUUAAUAAUAUGAGAAAUUGAUUACGCCAGUUAUAUUUUGUGGUGUUGUGAAUGUUCCUUAAUGCUUGACGAAAAAGAAUAAUCAUAAUGUCGCAACUUUUUAGUACGACUAUACUAUUGACACUUGCCAAAAAUGAAUACCCAUAUAGAUGGAUUUUUGACAGAUAAAAGAAGUCCUCACAUGGUGAAAGAAGCUCAUGAUAAGAAUAUCAAAAAUUGUGGGAUCUAUUAUCAUAUGACAAUGCCUUAGAAAGCAGCAUUGUUGUUGCAACAACACCUCAACUGUAGAGAGGCAACAGAAAAUCAUCUUCUUGCAAACACAAAUCAUGUCAACUCCAUCUCAAAUGCAGGGUGGUUGGAACAUUGUCCUUAUUGGUUGCUCAAUCUCCCAAGCUACACAAAUACUGGUCUUACACUUGCUCACCGUGUUUAUUGUAGUUGGAUGGUGGACAGCGGGAUCGAUCUCUCAUUCGUGAUACUUAUCCGUUCAAAGUGUGAGGAAGAUCGAUGGAGUUGAAUGCGACAACUCUAAGAAAGGAUUUAGUACUUUAAUUUGUCCGUGAUUGUUUUGAGUAUUAUUUAGCUUAUGCAAACUCCUUUCGCUCUCCGUUGUAUCUUUGUUGAUUCGCGACUUUUGCCUUUGCAUUAUUCUUCUUAUAAUAUAGCUAAUGACCUGAAGAUUUAGAAAUUGCCUUUCCUCUAUUCUUAUCCAUCUCCUAUUA